rnacentral:rRNA from 1 species
UCUUAACACCUUAGGUAGUUUAACAAAACCAAUAUAUAAUGGCGGUCUUCAUAAACUAGAGAAACUCGCUCUAUAAUCGUAAAUACCCGAUAAUUUUCACUAAACUUAAAAGCCUAUAUACCGCCGUUUAGACUUUUUAUCCUUAUAAUUCCCUUCCCUAUAAAGACAUAAAUCAGGUCAAGGUGUAGCUUAUAGCCUAGAAAGAGUAAGUUACAAUAAAUUAAAUUUAAGAAUAUAAAAUAAACACUAAAUUGAAAGAGAAUUUAUAUGUACAUAAAAUUUAAAAUCUUAUAUCGAACCAAAUAAUGAACGAUGC